CAGCAGUGAGGAAUAUUGGUCAAUGGCCUAACGGCUGAACCAGCAACUUGGAGGAAUGUAUAGCUAUUAGCUACUUGUAUCAUUACAGAUAUGAUGCAAGAUUGAUCAAGUCGAAUAAAAUUCUAGGUAGAAUUAUGAUGAUGACAUUGUCUGCCUAUGUGUCUUGACCAAACUACGUGCCAGCAGUCGCGGUAAUACGUAAUAGACUAGUGUUAUUCAUGUUUAAUCGGUUUAAAGGGUACCUAGACGGUAGAUCAAGCCUGGAAUAGAAUUCGACAAAGAAAGGGACUAAUUUACUAGAGUUACUUCUGAGGGGGUAUUAAAGUACUAGUGGUGUAGAGAUGAAAUUCUGUCAUACCUAUUUUCAAUAGAAAGGACACGGCACAGGUAUAGGCGAAGGCAUCCCCUUAUGUGAUAACUGACGUUGAGGGACGAAGGCUUUGUGUAGCAAAAAGGAUUAGGUACCCUCGUAGUCAAAGGAGAAAAUGAUGAAUGUCAUAGAUUAGAUAAAUAAGUUUAUUCUAUAAAUGAAAGUGUAAGCAUUCCACCUCAAGAGUAAUUUGGCAACAUUGGAACUGAAAUCAUUAGACCGUUUCUGAUACCAGUAGUGAAGUAUGUUAUUUAAUUCGAUGAUCCGC
rnacentral:rRNA from 1 species